GACGAACGCUGGCGGCGUGCCUAAUACAUGCAAGUAGAACGCUGAAGGAGGAGCUUGCUUCUCUGGAUGAGUUGCGAACGGGUGAGUAACGCGUAGGUAACCUGCCUGGUAGCGGGGGAUAACUAUUGGAAACGAUAGCUAAUACCGCAUAAUAGCAGUUGUUGCAUGACAACUGUUUGAAAGGUGCAAUUGCACCACUACCAGAUGGACCUGCGUUGUAUUAGCUAGUUGGUGGGGUAACGGCUCACCAAGGCGACGAUACAUAGCCGACCUGAGAGGGUGAUCGGCCACACUGGGACGGAGACACGGCCCAGACGCCUACGGGAGGCAGCAGUAGGGAAUCUUCGGCAAUGGACGGAAGUCUGACCGAGCAACGCCGCGUGAGUGAAGAAGGUUGUCGGAUCGUAAAGCUCUGUUGUAAGAGAAGAACGAGUGUGAGAGUGGAAAGUUCACACUGUGACGGUAUCUUACCAGAAAGGGACGGCUAACUACGUG
rnacentral:rRNA from 1 species